CCUACGGGAGGCAGCAGUGGGGAAUAUUGGACAAUGGGCGCAAGCCUGAUCCAGCAAUGCCGCGUGAGUGAGGAAGGCCUUCGGGUUGUAAAGCUCUUUCGCACGCGACGAUGAUGACGGUAGCGUGAGAAGAAGCCCCGGCUAACUACGUGCCAGCAGCCGCGGU
rnacentral:rRNA from 1 species